GACGGGGCCCGCACAAGCGGCGGAGCAUGCGGAUUAAUUCGAUGCAACGCGAAAACCUUACCUACCCUUGACAUGUCCGGAAUCCCGAAGAGAUUUGGGAGUGCUCGCAAGAGAGCCGGAACACAGGUGCUGCAUGGCUGUCGUCAGCUCGUGUCGUGAGAUGUUGGGUUAAGUCCCGCAACGAGCGCAACCCUUGUCAUUAGUUGCCAUCAUUUGGUUGGGCACUCUAAUGAGACUGCCGGUGACAAACCGGAGGAAGGUGGGGAUGACGUCAAGUCCUCAUGGCCCUUAUGGGUAGGGCUUCACACGUCAUACAAUGGUCGGUACAGAGGGUUGCCAACCCGCGAGGGGGAGCUAAUCCCACAAAGCCGAUCGUAGUCCGGAUCGCAGUCUGCAACUCGACUGCGUGAAGUCGGAAUCGCUAGUAAUCGUGGAUCAGCAUGUCACGGUGAAUACGUUCCCGGGCCUU
rnacentral:rRNA from 1 species